rnacentral:rRNA from 1 species
GAUUAAGUUAUUAAGGGCGCACGGUGGAUGCCUUGGCACUAGAAGCCGACGAAGGACGUUACUAACGACGAUAUGCUUUGGGUAGCUGUAAGUAAGCGUUGAUCCAGAGAUUUCCGAAUGGGGGAACCCAGCACGAGUUAUGUCGUGUUAUCGACAAGUGAAUUCAUAGCUUGUCAGAAGGCAGACCCGGAGAACUGAAACAUCUUAGUACCCGGAGGAAGAGAAAGAAAAAUCGAUUCCCUGAGUAGCGGCGAGCGAAACGGGAAGAGCCCAAACCAAUAAGCUUGCUUAUUGGGGUUGUAGGACACUCUAUACGGAGUUACAAAGGAAUAUAUUAGACGAAUCAUCUGGAAAGUUGAAUCAAAGAAGGUAAUAAUCCUGUAGUUGAAAAUAUAUUCUCUCUUGAGUGGAUCCUGAGUACGACGGAGCACGUGAAAUUCCGUCGGAAUCUGGGAGGACCAUCUCCUAAGGCUAAAUACUCUCUAGUGACCGAUAGUGAACCAGUACCGUGAGGGAAAGGUGAAAAGUACCCCGGAAGGGGAGUGAAAGAGAACUUGAAACCGUGUGCUUACAAGUAGUCAGAGCCCGUUAAUGGGUGAUGGCGUGCCUUUUGUAGAAUGAACCGGCGAGUUACGAUCUGAUGCAAGGUUAAGCAGGAGAUGUGGAGCCGUAGCGAAAGCGAGUCUGAAUAGGGCGUUGAGUAUUUGGUCGUAGACCCGAAACCAGGUGAUCUACCCAUGGUCAGGUUGAAGUUCAGGUAACACUGAAUGGAGGACCGAACCGACUUACGUUGAAAAGUGAGCGGAUGAACUGUGGGUAGCGGAGAAAUUCCAAUCGAACUUGGAGAUAGCUGGUUCUCUCCGAAAUAGCUUUAGGGCUAGCCUCAAGUGAUGAUUAUUGGAGGUAGAGCACUGUUUGGACGAGGGGCCCCUCUCGGGUUACCGAAUUCAGACAAACUCCGAAUGCCAAUUAAUUUAACUUGGGAGUCAGAACAUGGGUGAUAAGGUCCGUGUUCGAAAGGGAAACAGCCCAGACCACCAGCUAAGGUCCCAAAAUAUAUGUUAAGUGGAAAAGGAUGUGGCGUUGCCCAGACAACUAGGAUGUUGGCUUAGAAGCAGCCAUCAUUUAAAGAGUGCGUAAUAGCUCACUAGUCGAGUGACACUGCGCCGAAAAUGUACCGGGGCUAAACAUAUUACCGAAGCUGUGGAUUGUCCGUAGGACAAUGGUAGGAGAGCGUUCUAAGGGCGUUGAAGCAUGAUCGCAAGGACAUGUGGAGCGCUUAGAAGUGAGAAUGCCGGUGUGAGUAGCGAAAGACGGGUGAGAAUCCCGUCCACCGAUUGACUAAGGUUUCCAGAGGAAGGCUCGUCCGCUCUGGGUUAGUCGGGUCCUAAGCUGAGGCCGACAGGCGUAGGCGAUGGAUAACAGGUUGAUAUUCCUGUACCACCUAGCAUCGUUUUAAUCGAUGGGGGGACGCAGUAGGAUA